GGCCCGGCCGGGCGAGGGGCGGCGGCGGGCCCGGCAGUGCAGCCUGCGGUCCCUGCGGCCGGGGCGCGGCACGGGCCGUGUGCCGCCCGACCGUGAGCGGGGGACUUCGCCAGCCGCUGACAGCAGCGUUUUGUACAAGCCCAUCACAAAUUUAUUAGAGAAUGGUAGGGCUGGUUCGAAUUAAGGUGCGGACCUCUCAAACAGAACGGUACUGUGUUGUCCGAAGAAACAAAUUGUCCUCUGAAUGUUGAAGAUCGUAUAUAGGCAUAACCUUGUGUUUCCUUUGCAGGUUGAUUUACCGAUGGCUGGCAAAGGGUAGUGCUGCUCACCAAAACCGGGUGAAAUCCUGGCCCCGCGGAAGCUGGUAGGAGAACUUGAAUGGAAACCUCUUCCACCAAUUACAAUUGUAAACCAUGACAGAAAAGCACGCUUCUAAUAACGAAGGUGGCUCUGAGAGCUCCGGAAGAGUUUGCUGCAAGGUGUGGAACUGCUGCUGAGCUCAAAACCAGGCCCUGGUAUUUCUGGGAGCACACUGAUGUACCUGCACUCAUGAAAUUAACCUUUCAGAUACACGAGGUAUCACAGGUUGAACUAAAUAAUUGAAAAAGGAAGCCAAGAUUGUAUUAGUUUUAUGAAUUUAAUUAUUUUUUCUAUUCCUUCCAAGGAAAAAGGCUUUCUUUUUCUGCAGCUUUUAGUUCAUCAGCCUAAUGUGGGGUACAUGUGCCUCAUAUGCUACUCUACAGAACUCUAGGUAUUUGUAGUUGGUUUGAAUGGAGUUCAUAAUGUUUUUGCUCUGAGCUGUUUCAUUUUUCUAAUGAAUAAACUUUAAUUAACCCCCAAAAAAUUCAGACCUGUGGAGUUUUUGGGAGUUUUUUGCUUUGCAAUCUCCAUAUUGAAUUUGCAUUUGAUUACAAAAGACUAAAACCAAUGCUCUGAUACUACUUCAGCAUCUUUCCUUCUGUCCCAUGGAGAACUGCUUAUCAGAAGUUUACAUUAGCCUUACCUUAUGCGAUGAUUACUAGGCACAGUGCUCAGUUUGCAAAUACAACAGUUUAUUUCCCUUGUCCACUUUGGUUAAUAACCAGAUAUUUCCCUAAAUAUUCAUUUGUCACACCAAUCAUAUCAGGUAGGUGUUCAUCUCAUUCCCUAUUGGAAAUAAAAAUAAAUCCUACAGAUAGGGUACCAUAUGCUCUCUUAAAAUGAUGCCUAAAACACUGACACAACUAAUGAUAACUACUAAUGACUAAAACCACAGGUAAACUAAUGAGGGGCAUGACAUACCAGCUAGACAUGCAACAUAACAGCCAAGUAGCAUCUGCCAAUUUAACAUAAUGGUAUUUUUUUUCUUACAUUAAGUAAUCUAAUAAUACAGAUUAUAAUCUGUGUUUAGGAUGUCAAGUAACACUUAAGUUCAUAUAGACCAUUUUGAUACAGCAGCAGAGAGAGCAAAGGCACUCAAAACACUGAAUAACAUCAGGAGUUGGGGAAUAGAGUGUUUCCCAGCAGAGCUCUGUAAAAAAAAAAAAAAGAGAAAUUUGAUAAAACCAUUCCUAAAUAGUUCUCUUUAUUGCUAUUAUAAAAGCAUUGAAUUUUUCAGAGAAAUAAUUUUGUAUUAGCCCCAUCUAUUAUGUAGACACUUCUAUUGUCAAAAGACCAUGUGCCACACUUAUAUCAACACGUAUUUUUCAGUGAUAGUCAGGGUCAAAAGUAUAAAGCACCUAUGUGGUCCCACUUUUCUUCCUUUUUGUCAAGACUAUUUCAUUUAUUAUGUUGCACAUGUGUUCUCAAACAUUUAUUCAGAUGUAGGAAAUCUGACAGAUUUCAGUUUUCUGUGACAUUUAUAGGAAGAAACCAGUAGAAACUACAGAGGAAAAGUUCUUACCACUUGACUGCCGCCUGAGUAGGGUGAUUGCUGAAAACAAACCAAGAAAUAAAUUUAUAGAGCAUCUCCCAGCCAAUGGUUUUGAACAGUUUCUUCCUGUGAUCAACAAGAUUUUAAUAGCUUAACCCACAGCAUAGUCUUAAGUUGUUCAAGAGGAAGGCUGAACUAAUAUUAAUAUAGAUUUUUCUCUUCAGACCAAGUCAUCCCAAAAUUUCUCUAUCCACCAGCCAGGUUCUUUCUUUACUGACAAAAGAAGAUUAAAGUGCUGUGAUGAAAGUAUUCUUACCGGUUUCCCAGAGUAAGUGCUUCCUGAGCCAGAGCCACCCUGUGAAACAAUUAUGAACCAUUUAAUUUUGUCAUAUAAGGCUGCAUGAAUAGUGUCCAAAGAGCACACAGCAAUCUUGAAAAUGCCCUGGAUAUUAGUGGGUCUGAUAAUGAUUUUGAUUUUACCAUUUUCACUGCACUUUUCCCCCCUAUUUUAAUUGAAUGGUCUCAAACAAGCACGGCUAUGUCCAUUUCAUUGCAUGAACAGUUUCAGAGGAAUGGAUCAAAGCAAUGUGUCUUGUCUGAGCUACAGAGUUGGAAACUGAAACAAUUGCCCUGAUAUUUAAAUACAUCAUUCUUAUUAGAAUGACCCAGGAAUGUUCCUAUGAGUAAGUAACAGGGUAUAUCAAAACUUUGCUAUGGAGGAAUAAAUGCUGCCUCAUCCUAAGGUUCAAGCUUGAGCAAAAUAUUCCAAUUUUUAUUGGUAAUUUUUCUCAUACAUUUACCAUUGUAACAUAAUUUAAAAUUUCACCCUCAUUGCUGUUACCUAUCUUAAAACCCAAUAUCCCCAUGUCUAAUUUGGUUGCAGAAUACUGAAAGAAUAUCCUUACUGGCUUUCCUUGAUGACUGCCUCCUGAGGAAGAGGAACCCUGAAAAAAGAUACCUGUUUUUCACUCUAAAUCUAUUUGUGCUUAAAUAGUCUUGCUAUAUGUAAUUAAAGACCACAGAAGAAUGAAAACUUUUGUAUCCAGUCAUCCAAAAAUCCCAGGUAGAACCUUAUCUGAAAUACAUGUGUUUAACAUUUUCUGUUAUGUGUGUUCUUUCAAAUGUUGUAUUGGACAAUUUAAUACAAAAUUCUGAAGAAAAAAGAACUGGUUUAUAGUUGUGUUUAAUAUAUGGAAUAGAAAAAAUAAUAAGGUCCAAUUAAACCAUAAUUCUCCUGGUAUCAGUCUAUGGUUACAUUGGGAGAAAAAAAGACAGCACCAGCAAAAAAAGGCAAAUUAUAAAAGUCCUUUACUCUAUAGCCCCUACUUAAAGAAAACUCUAAAAAUAAAGAUAGUUGAAAAUAAAAGUAGGUACAGAAAAAUUAGAUGUUCUGAAAGCAUCUUAUUCAGUUUUCUGGUGAAGUGGCUCUGCUUAUUUGAAUGACAUUGCCAACAGGAAAUGUUACAAUCAUUAAGUCUUUAAGAAAUGCCAUCAAAUACGUACAGAAAAUGUCUCACCUUCAGGAUUCAUGUAUUAGAAAAUGUAACAUUUAUGAUCACUUUUUAAUAACAAGUACAUCUUUUCUAUAAGAUCUUUUCUAUAAACAUUUUUAUCAACUCUCACUGAAUGGCAAGAGUGAAGUCAAAAUUACGUAGUAAAAAGUAAAAAAGUCUGAAAUUAUAGAAGAUGAAAAUAUGCAUAGUUAAAUGGCAACUAUUAUUUCCUUUGAAAAGGAAAAUUGUUUUCUUCAAAGCAAGACAGAAAUACUUAAGACAAAUGCAUACAAAAUCAAUGAAAAGCUGAGCUCUGAGCAGAAAGUGUAUUAUUAUUAUAAAUAUAAAGAUAAAUAGCUGUUCAGAAGUUCCUUAUACACACACAAAUCAUUCUGUGAUUACUAGAAGUUCAGCUACGCAGUAAUGUGCUGUCUCAAAACUGUUGUGAAAAUAUUGUAUUUGCCUUUGUUGAAAGUAUCGCAGGUAAGUAAAUCAUGUGCCACUCUUUGCAUGUUAAAGUAAAACUCCAACUGUCUAAUCCAUAACUAACUUGGUAUUAGGGUUUUUUAGCAGGUGUAUAAGAAAAGAGAAAGGUAAAUGUGAAUGUUUUGUACUUACUGGUUUACCCUGUUUGCCUCCAGAAGGAUAUGAGCCCUGUAAGAAGUCAAUCAGACUUGUAUUAAUUGAAUGUAAAAUCUUCUAUCACUGUCUUCAGACAAUUUUUGCAGUACUUAGGACAAGCUUAUUUGGGUGUUCUUUGAACAAAAAAAACGCUUAAAAUUUACACUGUGUACUACAAACCACAACAAUGGCAAUUUGAAUCAAGAAAGCGGUGUUAAGAAAUACAGCCUGGCAACUAGAAUAUGUUCAAAGGAAUAUUUUACACAGAGCAGUAACUCAUUGUAACCAAAUCUUUUAUUCACCUUACUGAAGCGACUUUGAUCCAUAUUACCUGCACUGUUUAAACUUAAUAAAAUGUCCAAAUUAAUGUAUCUGUCAGCAUCAAGUAACUGACCUACAAAGCAUGUUAGGAGUGAGUUUGAAGUGAUGGGAUGGAAAGAUAACACUCACCUGCCCACCAUAUUGGCUGCCUCUUGAGGGAUAAGAUCCCUAUUAAGAAAAAAAAAAUCAGGGAAAAUUAACAGCAGAUACUUUUUGUUUUUCUGUGCAAAAUGAAACAUCACAGGGCUUUUGACAGGAGAUCUCAGUCAUAAUCUGGAAAGUAUAUUAAUCUAAAAAGAUGCAGUGAAAGACUUCUGAUCUAAUACCUCUAAGUUCCUCAACAGGUGAAAGUAGUAAAUUGGGCAGUCACAAAACACCUUCUGAGACUGUUCUGUUCCAUAAAUAAAUGGAUUAAAAGUGUCUUACAUAUGUCUCUAUUCAAGAGGAAAGAACCAAUUGACUUUAUUUGUGAUUUUCUACAUCAGACAUGUUUAGAGAGCACCAUGUGUAUUAUUGUUAAAAUAUUGUUAAUAUUACCAAAUAGGUAGUUUGGGGAAAAAAAAAAAAAGAUUUGCUGCCGUUAAGAAUCCUCUUCAUUCUACAUGAGAUUAUCUUUUAACAGAGUGAUACUGAAAACCAAUGCUUGCCAGCAAAGUAAAAAGCAAUUAAUUUUUUUAGUAUGGUAGAGUGAGACAUUGCAAAUACAGUAAUACUAAUGGAAACUAAGCUCCAUCUUUUGAGCUAGUCAUGCAUUUCAUGUCAGCUAUUUGCACUAGUAACCUUUCUGAAUUGGUGCCAAACAGUCUGCAUAAGGUAUAUGCUUAACAGGAAGAGUCUUGAGGUGACUCUAAAGAGGAAAGUAGUGUUAUUGUGUGCAACACACUGGAAUUUAUAUAUUUUUAAGCAGCAUCUAUUGGUUUAUUCUGUACCAAGUUUUCCAAGUAUGUAGUGUAAAUAUUAAAGUAAUCACUUGAAAUAAGAGGCAUUCUGAGGUGAAACAACUAAAAUUAUGAUCAAUGAAAUUUCUUUACAUGGAAAUUUUUUCAUGCUACUCCAUUUUGAGUAGAUUCCAGCUACUGACAGUCCCUGUUUUCAAAUAUUUAUUAGGAGUAAAAUGACCCUAAAAAAACUGUCAGUAUAUGUAUUGCAUGUUAUUUUUUCAGCUGACAAAUUGCAAAUAGAAGAUCUUGAAAACAAAGAAAAUUUGCUUGCCUGUCCACCACCAUACUGACUGCUUCCAGGAUAUGAACCCUAUAAAAAGAAUGCAAUACAUAUAUAUAUAUUUUUGUUGUUUUUUUUUUUUUAAUAGCAACAAAUUUUUAAAUGGCAAAAAAAGAUCCUGGACUUAAUGUAAUAUAAACAGUACUCAUGACACUGAUUAACUGGAAUAACUUGACACAGUUACUAAUGCAGUGGAAAAUGACUAAUUAUCCACACAUCAUCUUGGUGGUUUAUGCAGUGAGAUGAAGCCUAUGAAUAAUUCUUCAGUAAUUUCUUAAGGUAAGAAAGCUUCCAUAACUAAAAAGUAAAACCUUGGCUCUUGUAUAUGGAAGGAUAUAAUUGAAAUGCCAAGAGUGAUUGAAUAAAAGUCCCAUGCACUCUCUAGAAUUAUUGUACCUAUGUCUCUGACUAAACUGAACUUAAUAUUUAAUGGCUGCUGGCAAAUAUGACAACUGAACCAUGUUUAUUCCUGAGAAACUAAUCUGUGUAAAUGUUAGAGACAAACUGCCUACCUGUCCACCAUGGUAGUUGGUUCCUGCAAAAGAGCCCUGCAUUCAACAGAAACAGCAAUGUUUACUCUGCAUUAACUUCAGUGUCACACAGAGGAAAUCCAAGAGAACACACUGACUUAUUGCAAUGAUCAAGUAAUUUACGCUGCUUACUAUUAUUCUGAUUCAUCUUGAAUUCUAUGUCAAGGAAUAUAUAUGUAUAUAUAUAGUGUGUAUAUAAGUGAGUAUUAUUAUUGUAUAAUUUCUAUUUAUAUAAAUUCUAAUUUAUAUGUUGUUUUCAACACUUGAUUCUCAGAAUUGGCGUAUAUACCAUGGAUUAUACACUUGGGAUGUAAUUUUUCUUGAUUAUGCAGACCAAUAAAGAGAAGUAGUGAUCCAA